AUGUGGCCACAUCACAUUGAAACACCAGAUCCUGUACAAUCAUUAAAGCUAAGCAACAUCAAGCCUGAUCAGUACCUAGAUGGGUGACCACUUGGGAAUACUAGGUGUUGUA